CUCUCUCUCUCACUCUCUCUCUGUCUCUCUCUGUCUCUCUCUUUCUCUCUCUCUCUCUCUCUCUCUGUCUCUCUCUCUGUCCCCCUGAUACUCUACCUCAAUGACUAAAACACAUAAAUUAGAGAAACAGAAACUCACUCUCGCACACACACACACUCGCACACACGUUCUGUAGCUAGCUGUAGCACACCAGCGAAACCAUGGCAACUGUCACUAAACUAAAAACAGAAACAUUCAGCUUUGGAAACGAAUGCAUGAGAAGUUAAAGGUCAGAGGUCACGUCCUGAUUCGUGUAGGAAAGAAGGAGUAAAGUGUGUGAUGCAUAUCUGCGCUGGAAAAUUCUUCUAAUGAAUAUUCAGAAUCAGACCUCUAUUUAACACCGUGUGUGUGUGUGUGUGUGUGUGUGUGUGUGAUCUCUCUCCUCCACCAUCAUUACUAAAGAUGGAAACCUGUUAAACCCCUUAUAGGCUAUUUACAAUCUCUACCUCCCCCCACUCUCUCCCCCCAUUUCCCUGUCUGUCUUUCUCCAUUGGUCUCCCCCUAAUCUGUCUCUCUUUCGCCAUCGGCCUCUCUCUCUCGCUUUCGCCGCCGGCCUCUCUCUCUCGCUUCUGCCGUCGGCCUCUCUCUCUCUCUCGCCAUCAGUGCCUCUCUCUCUCUCUUUCGCCGUCGGUGCCUCUCUCUCUCUCUUUCGCUGUCGGUGCCUCUCUCUCUCUCUUUCGCCGUCGGCCUCUCUCUCUCUCUCACUUUGUCCUUCUCUCCUGGUCCUUCUUUCCUGACUGCCUGUCUGUCUCUCUUUCUCUCUGUCUCUCUCAUGCUGUCUUUCUCGAUCACGCCUGCUGUCUCCCUCCCCAUCUCUCCCAGCUUUACCUCUGACAGUUACAAAGCGCUGACACUGGAGACUCCUUCCGUAAAAUGUUAAACAGAAAACGAUUCUUAAAAACCAGUUUACGCGGCGCGUCCUCCGUACGAGUCCCCGUGAACGAGCCGUCACCACAGAAACGAUAACAUGCCGGAACGACCGCAUUAACAUAAACGAAUCAAAAUCGCCGCCUUCCGACCAAUCAGAAUCCGGAACUCGACAGCGCAGCGCUACGGCGUGAACCGUCAAUUCCAGUUAAUGAUCAUCGGCCGUGGUUCUCACCGUCAGGAGGAGGUGGAGGAAAGUCGUCCUGCUCCAUGCUGGAUUAUCUCUUCACACGCUCGACUGGAUCCGCAGAGGUCUCACACACACACCUGGGUGAGAGAGGGAACGGAAAUAAGAUACAGGUGAAGGCGCAGACACGCGACAUCAACC
ensembl:lncRNA